rnacentral:misc_RNA from 1 species
GAUGAAGAACGUAGUGAAAUGCGAUACGUAGUGUGAAUUGCAGAAUUCAGUGAAUCAUCGAAUCUUUGAACGCACAUUGCGCCCUUUGGUAUUCCAAAGGGCAUGCCUGUUCGAGCGUCAUUUGUACCCUCAAGCUUUGCUUGGUGUUGGGCGUUUUUGUCUUUGGCCCGCCAAAGACUCGCCUUAAAAUGAUUGGCAGCCGGCCUACUGGUUUCGCAGCGCAGCACAUUUUUGCGCUUGCAAUCAGCAAAAGAGGACGGCAAUCCAUCAAGACUCCUUCUCACGUUUGACCUCGGAUCAGGUAGGGAUACCCGCUGAACUUAAGCAUAUCAAUAAGCGGAGGA